UAAGGUGACUAUAGCGGCGGGGAUCACCUCUUCCCAUUCCGAACAGAGCAGUUAAGCCCGCCAGCGCUGAUGGUACUUGGAUAACACCCGGGAGAGUAAGUCGUUGCCUAUCUUUUAUUUAAAAAGCCUUGUUGAGAAAUCGACAAGGCUUUUUUGCU
rnacentral:rRNA from 1 species